rnacentral:rRNA from 1 species
GAUGAACGCUAGCGGCAGGCUUAACACAUACAAGUCGAGGGGUAUAGGUUUUCGGACCUAGAGACCGGCGCACGGGUGCGUAACGCGUAUGCAAUCUACCUUUCACAGAGGGAUAGCCCAGAGAAAUUUGGAUUAAUACCUCAUAGUAUAGCAGUUUCGCAUGAAACCACUAUUAAAGUAUCAACGGUGAAAGAUGAGCAUGCGUCCCAUUAGCUAGAUGGUAAGGUAACGGCUUACCAUGACUACGAUGGGUAGGGGUCCUGAGAGGGAGAUCCCCCACACUGGUACUGGGACACAGACCCGACUCCUACGGGAGGCAGCAGUGAGGAAUAUUGGUCAAUGGACGCAAGUCUGAACCAGCCAUGCCGCGUGCAGGAUGACGGUCCUAUGGAUUGUAAACUGCCUUUGUACGAGAAGAAACAACAUUACGUGUAAUGUCUUGACGGUAUCGUAAGAAUAAGGAUCGGCUAACUCCGUGCCAGCCGCCGCUGUAACAC